UGGGUAGGGGAGCGUUCUGUAAGCCUGUGAAGGUGUGCUGUGAGGCAUGCUGGAGGUAUCAGAAGUGCGAAUGCUGACAUAAGUAACGAUAAAGCGGGUGAAAAGCCCGCUCGCCGGAAGACCAAGGGUUCCUGUCCAACGUUAAUCGGGGCAGGGUGAGUCGACCCCUAAGGCGAGGCCGAAAGGCGUAGUCGAUGGGAAACAGGUUAAUAUUCCUGUACUUGGUGUUACUGCGAAGGGGGGACGGAGAAGGCUAUGUUGGCCGGGCGACGGUUGUCCCGGUUUAAGCGUGUAGGCUGGUUUUCCAGGCAAAUCCGGAAAAUCAAGGCUGAGGCGUGAUGACGAGGCACUACGGUGCUGAAGCAACAAAUGCCCUGCUUCCAGGAAAAGCCUCUAAGCAUCAGGUAACAUCAAAUCGUACCCCAAACCGACACAGGUGGUCAGGUAGAGAAUACCAAGGCGCUUGAGAGAACUCGGGUGAAGGAACUAGGCAAAAUGGUGCCGUAACUUCGGGAGAAGGCACGCUGAUAUGUAGGUGAAGCGACUUGCUCGUGGAGCUGAAAUCAGUCGAAGAUACCAGCUGGCUGCAACUGUUUAUUAAAAACACAGCACUGUGCAAACACGAAAGUGGACGUAUACGGUGUGACGCCUGCCCGGUGCCGGAAGGUUAAUUGAUGGGGUCAGCGCAAGCGAAGCUCUUGAUCGAAGCCCCGGUAAACGGCGGCCGUAACUAUAACGGUCCUAAGGUAGCGAAAUUCCUUGUCGGGUAAGUUCCGACCUGCACGAAUGGCGUAAUGAUGGCCAGGCUGUCUCCACCCGAGACUCAGUGAAAUUGAACUCGCUGUGAAGAUGCAGUGUACCCGCGGCAAGACGGAAAGACCCCGUGAACCUUUACUAUAGCUUGACACUGAACAUUGAGCCUUGAUGUGUAGGAUAGGUGGGAGGCUUUGAAGUGUGGACGCCAGUCUGCAUGGAGCCGACCUUGAAAUACCACCCUUUAAUGUUUGAUGUUCUAACGUUGACCCGUGAUCCGGGUUGCGGACAGUGUCUGGUGGGUAGUUUGACUGGGGCGGUCUCCUCCUAAAGAGUAACGGAGGAGCACGAAGGUUGGCUAAUCCUGGUCGGACAUCAGGAGGUUAGUGCAAUGGCAUAAGCCAGCUUGACUGCGAGCGUGACGGCGCGAGCAGGUGCGAAAGCAGGUCAUAGUGAUCCGGUGGUUCUGAAUGGAAGGGCCAUCGCUCAACGGAUAAAAGGUACUCCGGGGAUAACAGGCUGAUACCGCCCAAGAGUUCAUAUCGACGGCGGUGUUUGGCACCUCGAUGUCGGCUCAUCACAUCCUGGGGCUGAAGUAGGUCCCAAGGGUAUGGCUGUUCGCCAUUUAAAGUGGUACGCGAGCUGGGUUUAGAACGUCGUGAGACAGUUCGGUCCCUAUCUGCCGUGGGCGCUGGAGAACUGAGGGGGGCUGCUCCUAGUACGAGAGGACCGGAGUGGACGCAUCACUGGUGUUCGGGUUGUCAUGCCAAUGGCACUGCCCGGUAGCUAAAUGCGGAAGAGAUAAGUGCUGAAAGCAUCUAAGCACGAAACUUGCCCCGAGAUGAGUUCUCCCUGACUCCUUGAGAGUCCUGAAGGAACGUUGAAGACGACGACGUUGAUAGGCCGGGUGUGUAAGCGCAGCGAUGCGUUGAGCUAACCGGUACUAAUGAACCGUGAGGCUUAACCUU
rnacentral:rRNA from 1 species